AAAAGAACAGAAGUUCAUCUGAUAGCUCUGAUAGUGAAACAGAAAGGGAUACCAAACAAACGUCCAAACCGGACCAUAAUCAGCAGAAGAAAGGGAAAGCUACAAAGAGGCAGAAGGACAGCACUAGGAAGUCUGCACAGGUGAGAAAAUCCAGUUCAUCAGGCAAGAGUAAAGCAAAGAGAAGAAAAUUGACAAGUUUAGAGGACGAGAGUGGUGGCAGUGGCAGUGAAUAUUUGUUCUGACCUAGUGUCUGCCAUUUGGGUUGAAAUGAGCUGGUUAUGGAGCACACACCUUCCUGGCCAUGGAAUACAUGAGAGAUGCAGAUGAGCAACGGGAGUUUGUGUCCUGGGUGCAGCCAGUGAUGAGCACUUGUGGUAUUAAAGUUAUCAGUUCUCUGGAAAGAAGGCCAAUAACGUUGAUCAGUGCAGUAUAUAGAGGAAUAGAUGACUGUAAAAUAGCAGCAAAUUUGUUGUGAAAGACAAAAACUAAGUAUCAGUUGUAAUGCAGAAAGGUAAAUGUACUAAAUAUUGUAAGAGGGAAGGAAGGUGACAAAGCAUGGCAGAAGUACACAACAUGUUUGAUGCAAAAUCAGUACAAAAAAAGGGACAAGAAAGUCCUCUUGAGAAAGAUGAAUUAAAUAGUAUAGUCAAAGCAGCCUCGUGCAAAGGCUGGUAUAAUUAUAAUCAUAGCUAAAAAUCAUUAAAAUGGAAAGGCAAGAAGUUUUAGUGGCAAACCAGUCAUGAUGCAGGGGUUGAAAUAGUAACAAGCAUUGAUAAAAAUGAUUUAUAAGAAACAAAGUGAUAGACGCAAACCAGUUACAUUGCAGAGCGAGGCUGGAAUUAUUAUAAGCAGAGACAUUACAAUAGCAAAAGGCAGAGACAAGAAGUGUUAGAGAUGUUCCAUUUUCAGUGAAAAGGCUAUAAGAACUAUAAGCAUAGACAACAACAGAGCUAAGAGGCGAAAUCAGCAGGAAAAAAAAUAAAAUCAGAGAAAGGAAAUUUUAGAGGCAAAGGAAGACAUUAGUGGCUGAAUGUAGAGGUGAAGACAGUACAAACGUGGUAGAGACAUGAAUAAACAGUGGCAAAAAUUAUAGCUUAAAAAAAAAAAUGUAUGAGAAAUUCAAAUGGAACAAACCAAAAAACUACAUAAAGCAGAAAGUCUUCAGUACAAAAAUGUUGGAGACAGAAAUAACAUGAAAUGUAGAAAAGAUGUGAUCAAGUUGAUGAUGCAAACAGUAUUACUAUUAGAAAUAUGUUGCUAAAAGAGUUAGACAUUUCCUGUACAAGCAGUUGACAGAACAGUUUGUUUGUCAACAAGUCCUGGUGUAGUUUACUACCAUUUUCAGUGGCAUACUGAUCAGUCAGCCUACAACAUUUGCAGGGUGGUCUUAAAGGAUCAAUGAAAAAUGAUGACACCUGACAGAAUGUAGCAUCCGGAGGAUAAAGGCCUAACAGAUGGGACAUUCUGGCUAAUGACUCAGAAAAUAGGAGACAAGAUGGCAUUCCUGUUGUUCACAAGGACUAAGUGCAGCUUAAAAGCUCCUCAGCAGCUGAGGUCAUAAGUACUGUAACUUAUGGGGUCAUACUGGCAUAUUCAAGCAACCUAAAUAGAUAUGUGCUGUUCAACAGAAGAUGUUGCAAGAACGUUAAACAAGGCAAUGAAGUCACUUAUGGAUCCUGUGCCUGACGAAAACAUACUGUAGAACCAGAAAUGUUUGCCAUCUUUCCAGUUGGUGAAACAGUGUCACAAAAAUAAACAUGUUGUCAUGCAACAGGACUUUUAAAAAUUCAGUAUAAAAAUAAAAAUGACAAGAGAAUAUGUUUUGCAAGACAAGAAAAUUGUUCAUUUGUUAAUAAUCUUAACUUUCCUUAAAACUUAAACAUAUUUCAGUAAAAUUAUUAGAAUGACCAUAACUUAGUUACAGGGAAUUCUGAAACUGUGUUAAAGGCUCAAAGUUUCCCGACACCUGAUCUUAAACUUGCAAAAUUUUGCAUUUGCAAAAUUAUGUUUCCUCUUUACUGGAAAAUACGCAUAUUUCAUUACCUCUCAUGAACAGACUCAAUCAAACUGAGUAAGCUAUUAUGCUGCUUGAUUGCAUUCUAUGCUUCCAAAGGAUCUUCUCACAAAUUUUUAGCUCAUCAGAGCACAAAGUGCGUCAACGUGCGUCGUCCGUCGUGCAUCAACAUUUGCCUUGUGAACACUCUAGAGACCACAUUUUUGACCCAAUCUUUAUGAAACUUGGUCAAAAUGUUUGCCUUGAUGAUCUCUAGGUCAAGUUCGAAACUGGAUGAUGUGGGGUCAAAAACUAGGUCAGUAGGUCAAAUCAUAGAAAAAGCUUGCGAACACUCUAGAGACCACAUUUGUGUUCCAAUCUUUAUGAAACUUAGUCAGAAUGUUAGCAUGAUGAUCUCUAGGUCAAGUUUGAAACUGGGUCAUGUUGGGUCAAAAACUAGGUCAGUAGGUCAGAUCAAAGGAAAAGCUUGUGAACACUCUAGAGACCACAUUUUUGACCCAAUCUUUAUGAAACUUGGUCAGAAUGUUUGUCUUGAUGAUCUCUAGGUCAAUUUGAUACUGGGUCAUGUGGGGUCAAAAACUAGGUCAGAAGGUCAGAUCAAAGGAAAAGCUUGUGAACACUCUAGAGACUACAUUUUUGACCCAAUCUUUAUGAAUCUUAGUCAGAAUGUUUCUCUUGAUGAUCUCUAGGUCAGGUUCAAAACUGGGUCAUGUGGGGUCAAAAACUAGGUCAGUAGGUCAGAUCAAAGGAAAAGCUUGUGAACACUCUAGAGACCACAUUUUUGACCCAAUCUUUAUGAAACUUGGUCAGAAUGUUUGUCUUGAUGAUCUCUAGGUCAAGUUUGAUACUGGGUCAUGUGGGGUCAAAAACUAGGUCAGUAGUUCAGAUCAAAGGAAAAGCUUGUGAACACUCUAGAGACUACAUUUUUGACCCAAUCUUUAUGAAUCUUGGUCAGAAUGUUUCUCUUGAUGAUCUCUAGGUCAGGUUUGAUACUGGGUCAUGUGGGGUCAAAAACUAGGUCAGUAGUUCAGAUCAAAGGAAAAGCUUGUGAACACUCUAGAGGCUACAUUUUUGACCCAAUCUUUAUGAAACUUGGUCAAAAUGUUUGCCUUGAUGAUCUCUAGGUCAAGUUUGAUACUGGGUCAUGUGGGGUCAAAAACUAGGUCAGUAGUUCAGAUCAAAGGAAAAGCUUGUGAACACUCUAGAGACUACAUUUUUGACCCAAUCUUUAUGAAUCUUGGUCAGAAUGUUUCUCUUGAUGAUCUCUAGGUCAGGUUUGAUACUGGGUCAUGUGGGGUCAAAAACUAGGUCAGUAGUUCAGAUCAAAGGAAAAGCUUGUGAACACUCUAGAGGCUACAUUUUUGACCCAAUCUUUAUGAAACUUGGUCAAAAUGUUUGCCUUGAUGAUCUCUAGGUCAAGUUCGAAACUGGAUGAUGUGGGGUCAAAAACUAGGUCAGUAGGUCAAAUCAUAGAAAAAGCUUGCGAACACUCUAGAGACCACAUUUGUGUUCCAAUCUUUAUGAAACUUAGUCAGAAUGUUAGCAUGAUGAUCUCUAGGUCAAGUUUGAAACUGGGUCAUGUUGGGUCAAAAACUAGGUCAGUAGGUCAGAUCAAAGGAAAAGCUUGUGAACACUCUAGAGACCACAUUUUUGACCCAAUCUUUAUGAAACUUGGUCAGAAUGUUUGUCUUGAUGAUCUCUAGGUCAAUUUGAUACUGGGUCAUGUGGGGUCAAAAACUAGGUCAGUAGGUCAGAUCAAAGGAAAAGCUUGUGAACACUCUAGAGACUACAUUUUUGACCCAAUCUUUAUGAAUCUUAGUCAGAAUGUUUCUCUUGAUGAUCUCUAGGUCAGGUUCAAAACUGGGUCAUGUGGGGUCAAAAACUAGGUCAGUAGGUCAGAUCAAAGGAAAAGCUUGUGAACACUCUAGAGACCACAUUUUUGACCCAAUCUUUAUGAAACUUGGUCAGAAUGUUUGUCUUGAUGAUCUCUAGGUCAAGUUUGAUACUGGGUCAUGUGGGGUCAAAAACUAGGUCAGUAGUUCAGAUCAAAGGAAAAGCUUGUGAACACUCUAGAGACUACAUUUUUGACCCAAUCUUUAUGAAUCUUAGUCAGAAUGUUUCUCUUGAUGAUCUCUAGGUCAGAUUUAAAACUGGGUCAUGUGGGGUCAAAAACUAGGUCAGUAGGUCAGAUCAAUGGAAAAGCUUGUGAACACUCUAGAGACCACAUUUUUGACCCAGUCUUUAUGAAUCUUGGUCAGAAUGUUUGUCUUGAUGAUCUCUAGGUCAGGUUCAAAACUGGGUCAUGUGGGUUCAAAAACUAGGUCAGUAGGUCAGAUGUGGAAAAGCUUGUGAACACUCUAGAAGAGACCACAUUUUUGACCCAAUCUUUAUGAAACAUGGUCAGAAUGUUUCUCUUGAUGAUCUCUAGGUAAAGUUCGAAACUGGGUCAUGUGGGGUCAAAAACUAGGUCACCUGGUCAAAUCAAAAGAAAAGCUUGUGAACACUUAGAGGCCACAUUUGUGACUCAAUCUUUAUGAAACUGGGUCAGAAUGUUUGUCUUCAUCAUUUCUAGGUCAAUGUGAAUCUGGGUCAUGUGGGGUCAAAAACUAGGUCAGAUCAAAGGAAAUUCUUAUCAACACUCUAGAGACCACAAUUUAAGUUUGAAACUCAUGGGAAUUUGUCAGAAUGUUUGUUUUGAUGAUCUAUAGGUCAAGUAAGAAUCUGGGGUCAAAAACUAGGUCACCGGUCAAAUCAAGGGAAAACCUUGUGAACACUCUAGAGGCCACAGUUGUAACCAAAUCUUUACGAAAUUUAGUCAGAAUGUUUGUCUUGAUGAUCUUUAGGUCAAGUUCAACUCUUGGUCAUGCGGGGUAAAAAACUACGUCAGUAGACCAGAUCAACUCUGGUGAGCGAUGUAUAGGGCCGUCAUGGCCCUCUUGUUAUUAAUUAUUACAAGGGCAGUCUUUAAGUUCCGUGUGGCAGCUGUAAAAAGUCUCUCCAUACUUUGACUCAGUGUUGUUAUAUUUUCUUGUUCUUUAAGAUCAUAGAGUACAUUCAUUAAUCCCCUGCCAUGAGUGGUGGGUUGUUAAAGGAAUGGUCUCUGUCCAUCCUUCCGUCUUUCUGCCCUUCUGUCUUCCGUCCUUCCGUAACAUUUGUAUCUGCUCUAUAUCUCCUAAACCCCUUGAAGGAUUUUCAUGAAACUUGGCUCAUCAAGACGAUGUGCAGAACCCAUGAGUCAGCCAUGUCAGUUCAAGGUCACAACUCAAGGUCAAAGGUUUUAGCCUUCCAUUUCAUGUCCGCUCUGUAUCUCCUAAACUUCUUGAAUGAUAAUCAGGAAACUGAUCACCUUAUCAAGACGAUGUGCAGAACGCAUGAGUCAGUCAUGCCGGCUCAAGGUCAAAGUCACAACUUAGGGUUUGAGCCUUCCUUUUUGUGCUCACUCUGUAUCUCCUAAACCCCUUGAAGGAUUUUCAUGAAACUUGAGUCAAAUGAUCACCUCAUCAAGACGAUGUGCAGAACCCAUGAGUCAGCUAUGCCACUUCAAGGUCAAGGUCACAACUCAAGGUCAAACGUUUGAGCCUUCCAUUUCGUGUCCGCUCUGUAUCUCCUAAUCCCCUUGAAGAAUUCAUAUGAAACCUGGGUUAAAUGAUCACCUAACCAAGACUAUGUGCAGAACUGAUGAGUCAGCCAUGCCAGCUCAAGGUCAAGGUCACAACUUAGGGUCAGAAGUUUGAGCCUUCGUUUUUGUGCCCACUCUGUAUCUCAUAAACCCCUUGAAGGAUUUUCAUCUUUUUCUUCUUGUCGUUCACGACUACACUGUCAGACCAGUAGCCUUGAAGAAACUUGUGGUUUGCCGCAGAUCCUCAAUGCCUCCAUACAGUUUCUGGUGGAUUGAGGUAUCUAUCGGCCAAGUCGCAGCUCGCUCCUGGUCAUAUGCUUAUUACAUCUCUGAAGUAUAUGCUCCGCAGUCUGAUCUUCUUCACCAAAUGAACAAGUUGGCGAUGAUGCCAGUCUGUAUUUCUUGUACAUGUGAGCAUUGAGCUUGUUGUGCCCUGAGCGGAGCCUGACCAUCAUCGCUUGUUCAAACCGAUCAAGGAUUUUCAUCAAACUUGGAUGAAAUGAUCACCUCAUCAAGAACUCAUGAGUCAGCCAUGUCAACUCAAGGUCAAGGUCACAACUCAAGGUCAAAGGUUUGAGUUCUGUAUCUCUUAAACCCCUUGAAGCAUUUUCAUGAAACUUGGGUCAAAUGAUCAUCUCAUCAAGAUGAUGUGCAAAAUUUGUGGGGCAGCCAUGUCAGUUCAAAGUCAAGAGCACAGCUCAAUGUCAAAUGUUUACCCUUUAACUUUCCAUAUCAGUGGCAGGGGAUUUAGCUGUUUUCAGACUGCCUUGUUCAUACUGAAAUAGAAUUCUGCUUAAGCCAGUGCUAGGGGGCACGAGGGGUGAUGCACAUUUCAUUACCUCUCAUGAACAAACUCAAUCAAACUGAUUAAGCUAUUGUGUUGCUUGGUUGCGUUCUAUGCUUCCAGACGAUUUUCUCACAGAUUUUACUAUCACAACAGCAGUCUUUAAGUGCCAUGUAGCAACUGUAAAAAGUCUCCCCGUACUUUGACUUGGUGAAGUUAUAUUUUCUGGUUCUGCUGUAAUAGAAUUCCACUUAUGCCAGUGCUGAGAGGCAGGGGUGAGGGUUGUUGCACAUUUCAUUACCUCUCGUGAACAAUCUGUUCUUAUGUUGCUUGGAUGUGUUCUUUGCUUCCAAAAGAUCUCACAGAUUUUAUUACAAUGCUUUCAUUUAUAAUUGAGGAAUAAGAGGGCUGGUAAAAAAAUUCCAGGAAGAAAAUCAGUUAUUUAAUGCUCUGAGACUAGAAGAUAAUAAGGCUAAUUUUUCCACAAUAGCAGCUUUAUGAUUUGAUUUUUACCAAACUGGCACACAACUUGUAUCACCAUAAGAUCUUGGUUCCUUUCUUGAACUGGCCAGAUUCCAUUAUGGGUUCCAGAGUUAUGGCCCCUGAAAGAGCCAGAACUUGUCUGCAAAAUAGCAGCUUCAUUUAUGAUUUUAUUUUAACCAAACUUGCACACAACUUGUAUCACCAUAAGAUCUUGGUUCCUUUCUUGAACUGGUGAGAUUCCUUUAUGGGUUCUAGAGUUAUGGCUCCUGAAAGGGCCAAAAUUAGCUAUUUUGACCUUGUCUGCACAAUAGCAGCUUCAUUUAUGAUUUGAAUUUAAUCAAACUUGCCCAAAACUUGUGUCAUCAUAAGAUCUCAGUUCCUUUCUUGAACCGGCUAGAUUCCAUAAUGGGUUCCAGAGUUAUGGCCCCUGAAAGGGCCAAAAUUAGCUAUUUUGACCUUGUCUGCACAAUAGCAGCUUCAUUUAUGAUUUGAUUUUAACCAAACUUGCACACAACUUGUAUCACUUCAAGGUCUUGGUUCCUUUCUUGAACUGGCCAAAUUCCGUCAUGGGUUCCAGAGUUAUGGCCCCUUAAAGGUCCAAAAUUGGCUAUUUUGGCUUUUGCAGCCAUAUAGAGACUUCAUUUAUGGUUUUAUUUGAUACAAACUUCCAAAGUAUCUUCAACAACAAUAAAUCUUAGAUUCCAUGACAAAUCAGAUCCAAUCGUAGGUUCCAGAGUUAUUUUAUAUCUGAUUACCUCCCCUGAUUGUAAUCAAAAUGGAUUUAUAUCAGUAAGUACUUAUAGGACUUAUUUGAAAUUUCAUUAUUGUCAUUAGUUGGACUGAGACAAUCAGGGUAGAUAACUAUGGACUGAUUUUAUGUCAAAUUACCUCCCUUUAUUUCAAAUUAAAAUGGGUAUAUCUCCGUAACUAAUGAAGAUACUGAUCUGAAAUUUCAUUUAUGUCAACAGAUUUAUUUGGCAGAGCCUUCUUUUGUUCACUUACAAUAUUUUUUUUAAUUACUUCCCUUUUACGUUACUAUAAAUAGCUUAUAUUUAGUAACUUUUUUAUUACUGCGCCGUAGGGAAAAACCGAGACCACUUUUCUGUGGUACAACAUGGAUGGUACCUCCAAUUUUUAGGUGCAUUUUGACAUAUCUGUACCUUGUAAGAAUUGUUUUUUUCUUUUUGGUUAAAUUUCUUCCCUUUAUUGUUCCUGUCCUUUGGACUUAAAUAUUUUUACUGAGGACCUUCUUGUCCUCAAGUGCAAUGAUAACAGGUGAGCGAUAUAGGGCCAUCAUGGCCCUCUUGUUUAUUUGAUUGCAUUAAGUUUAUAUAUGGUUUUUGGAUGUUCAUAUAUGUGUAUGUGUUAAGCUGCAAGAAAGAAAACGUUCAGCAUUUACUUUUGUGGCCGAGUGGUUAUGGUCACUCGCAUUGGAAGAGAUGCCAUUUCUUUCAGGUGGUUGCAGAACCAUUUGAAAUAUAUAUAUGUGUACAAUUCUCUCAUUUCAGGAAGUUAUUCACCUAGCUUACAAAAGUUUGAUAGUUCUACCAAGGUAUUCUUAAAGCACCCAUGUAAAGUUGGAAUAUCACUAUUUUGUUAUUUUGUUGGUUAAAACUUUUAACAUGUCAAAUCAAAAGUACUUCACAAACUUGUUAUACAUUAUGUUAUUGUGAUGAAAAUAUUGUAUUGUUUUUAUGUGUUAUGUUGAUAAUUUUUGCAAUAAGUAAACAUUAUUUGAUAGUUUGUCUUAAUUAUUACUACAUUUGUACAAUGUCAUAUCAUACAUAUUACAUGUUGAAUUUAUUGAACAAGUUAAUAAAAUGACACUCCUUCUCAUUGAGGUAAACAUUCAUGCCAGAUAUAUACAAGAUUGGUCCAUACAUGUCAGAGUUAUG